AUGGCUAACUUUCAAAUGUUUAAAAAGUGCUAUCCUAUAUCCCCUCAGACUUUUAGUUCAAGAAGAGCUUCAUUCAUUUGUUUGUUCGUCCAUUUGUUCAUUUGUUCGUUCGUUCGUUCAUUUGUUCGUUCGUUCGUUCGUUCAUUCAUUCGUUUGUUUGUUUGUUUGUUUGUUUGUUCCUUCCUUCCUUCCUUCCUUCAUUCCUUCCUUCUGUUUGUUCUUGAUAAUGUAGGCACAUACUUAAAGAACAGGCAUUCAAAGACCUCACAGAUCCUACAAAAUGGGAGGUGGGAUGCUACAAUUUCAGGUCCAAUUUAUUCAUUCACCACACGGAGGAUCAUAAGCCAUGGAGAGGAGGUAGAGGGAAAUGGACACAACUUUGCUCUUCAAGUCCUUGUUCCCACUGGCAACAUCCUCCAGGGCUUGACAUAUUCAGGGAAUACAGAAAAACUUCCUCAAAUGGAUGGCUCUUUUGGCUGCUACUUGAAGACAUCCAACAAAGGAGAACAAUCUGAAUCAGGGAGAUUUUUCAAGGCAUGGAUGGAAGAGGCGCGAGCCAUUUGAAAGUAACUUGAAGCAGAUUUUAAUAGAAGCAGAUAACUGUUGAAAACAGGUCUGUCAACUAUUAGCUAUAAUAGUUAACAAAAAAGAGAAACCCUCCAUUUUAAAGAUGAACGGGAGCCUCGUGACACAGUGGUUAUAAUGCAGUCCUGCAGUCAACACUCUGCUCGUGAUGGGCUCAGGAAGUCAUCUCAAGGUUGACUCAGCCUUCCAUCUUUCUGAGAUUGGUAAAUUGAAUACCCAUCUUGCCGAUGGGCAAUGUGUAGCCUGAAUAAUUAAACUGUAAACCACCCAGAGAGUUCUUUAAGUGCCAUGGGGUGGUAUAUAAACAGCAUACCUUGCUUUUGGUUUUGCUUUAGUAUAUCUGAUUACCGGGUGGUAGGAGGUGCAAGCACAUCAGACUGGUCAUUGGCAAGGAAUCUUGGAAGUUUCCUUACAUGGAUUGAAACCACCUGCCCUCCUCCCUGCCUAACCUCCCCUGGGUUCAGCCUCUGAGUGGGCACCCACUGGAGGAGGCGGGACAUGGAAGCGCCAAUCACCUUUUCAUCCAAAAGACGAACCAGCACGAACCACCAAAAUGCCAGUUCGUGCCCAUCUCUAAUAGCCAUCUAUUGAUGGGCACCCCAAGACCCCCCAGAGCUGCAGCUCUUUUAUGGGGCAGGAAAUCAGGAGUGCGUCCUGCUCCUUCCUUGUGCAUCUCAGAGCAGCUGUCUGUGAGCUCCUCCUGAAGGAAGAGGAAAGAAGCGUGAUGAUGAUUCGUGUUUUGUUUUCCUUGUUAUAAACCUUUACGAGUGAUUGACUUUACAAAUGACUUGUUCUUGUCUUGUUAAUACAGUGGUGCCUCGCUAGACGGUUACCCCACAUGACAGGUUUUUUUUGCUAGACAUUGGCUUUUUGUGAUCACUAUAGCGAUUCGCAAAACAGGGAUUCCUAUGGGGGAAUUUUGCUGGACCAUAUUUGGUCCCUGCUUGGCAAACCAAUUUUCGCUAGACGACGAUUUUGACAGCUCCCUCCGUGCUCGCAAAAUGGGUGUUUUCAGGACCUAAGCUUUGCAAGACAGCAAUUUAAACAGCUGAUCAGCAGUUCACAAAGCAUCUUUCCUAUGGCUGAUCUUCGCUAGACAAUGACGACUCUUCCCCAUUGGAAUGCAUUAAACAGGUUUCAAUGCAUUCCAAUAGGGAAAUGCUUUUCGCUAGAUGAUGAUUUCGCUAAGCAGCGAUUUCAGUGGAAUGGAUUAUCAUCGUCUAGUGAGGCACCACUGUAUGGACUAAUCAGCUCGCUGCACUCUCUUUAAGGUGUGUGUGUGUGUUUGUGUGUGUGUGUGUGGGAGGGUGUCAAUGAGGACAGUGAUGAUGAGCACCUGCUGUUCCCAAUUUACCAUAACUGCCUCACUGAGGUAAAUGUGGCCUACUACGGCCCCCAAAUUCCCCCCCCCCGCAAAUACCCCUCUUGUGGGUUGAAAGCAGAACUAACAGAGGUUUGUCUUUGCACUUUUGAAUAGGAAUGAGAAAAAAAAAUCAAGCUGGGAAAAUCAAGAGAACAUCUACAUCUACAUCCAUUCUCUGAUUCUGUUCAAGAAUCCCAGGAAACAGAAGGCGCUCACACAUCCACCGAAGAUGGGCUGGAGGUGAAAUGCUCGAUUACCUACUGCUUACCUCUGGUCUGGAAGGAGAUUUGCUUAUUUUCACAAAACUAUUCUUUCCCUAUAUAUUCGUUGCAUCCCUAUUAAUAAGUGUCUGCUGCUCUAUGUGUGUGUUUUUUAAAAAUUGGAGCCGGUUUUCUUUUCUUUUUUUCCCCCCUCUACAAAUUGAGAAAGAUCAUCUUCAAAAGGACUUUGAUCAUUGUUUUCUAAAAAUAAAAUGAGAAAGUUUUUCUUGGAGGGAAAGAGA
ensembl:lncRNA